rnacentral:rRNA from 1 species
CAUGCAAGUCGUACGAGAAAUCCUGGGCAACUGGGAGAGUAAAGUGGCGCACGGGUGAGUAACGUGUGGGUAACGUACCCUUGAAUUGGGGAUAACUCCUCGAAAGGGGAGUUAAUACCGAAUAAUAUUCCAAUUCCUCCGGGAGUCGGAAUCAAAGGUGGCCUCUACAUGAAAGCUAUCGUUUAAGGAUGGGCCCGCAUACCAUUAGCUAGUUGGUGGGGUAAUGGCCUACCAAGGCAACGAUGGUUAGCUGGUCUGAGAGGAUGCCCAGCCACACUGGAACUGAGACACGGUCCAGACUCCUACGGGAGGCAGCAGUGGGGAAUCUUGCGCAAUGGGGGAAACCCUGACGCAGCAACGCCGCGUGGAGGAUGAAAGCCUUCGGGUUGUAAACUCCUGUCAGAGGAGAAGAAUCUCCGAGCAAUCGGAGU